rnacentral:rRNA from 1 species
UCCGUAGGCGGACUGAUAAGUCAGGGGUGAAAUCCAACAGCUUAACUGUUGAACUGCCCUUGAUACUGUUAGUCUUGAAUUAUAUGGAAGUAGAUAGAAUGUGUAGUGUAGCGGUGAAAUGCUUAGAGAUUACACAGAAUACCGAUUGCGAAGGCAGUCUACUACGUAUAUAUUGACGCUAAUGGACGAAAGCGUGAGGAGCGAACAGGAUUAGAUACCCUGGUAGUC